UCCAUUGGGAGAACAAUGGCAUUUUCCCCCUGCCUCGUAUGUUGAUGGCCAAAGAACAUCAUGAACAGGAUUUACAUUCUUCAAUCCAUUCCUUCUCCAACCUUGACAGCUGUUUAAAAGCCAUUGAUCUCACAUGCAUUUUGAGCAGCCAUAAUUCAACUCCCGGCCAUGAGGAUCUGUAAUCUCUUGGUUGGUGUCAUUUUUGCUGUCACACUCAUCUCUUUAGGAUCCAGUUUGAACUUACCUGUCAGGCUCUGCUGGAAUAAAAAAGGAGUAUGCCGGAAUGUCCAAUGCCUCUCCAAUGAAGUAGAGAUCAGUAACUGUCACCAUCUGAGACUGAAAUGCUGCCAAAAGAAGGACUGAGAGGAGUCAAAGCUAUGGUGCUUCCCAAAAUCUGGGCAGUUCAGAAACAGACUUCCUUACAGUUCUCCAUUCUAUCAUGAAAUAAGGAGGAAAUUAGAAUAGUGGUUUGGACCGUCUACUUUUCAGCUUAAUCCAAAAGUGUCUGGGCACUGCUUUGUUUUUUAAAAAUUAUCUGAUUAAAACAAUGUACAUACAGUCUUA